CUCUCCGUCUCUCUCUCUCUCCGUCUCUCUCUCUGUGCCCCGCGCAGCCUCGCGGACUCACGGCUCUCGUCGAGUACGAGUCCCUGCUCCUCCUCCUCCUCCUGCCAUCACCACCUUCCUCCUCCUGCUCCUCCUCCUCCUCCUGCCAUCACCACCUUCCUCCUCCUGCGCCUCCUCCUCCUGCCCCGCGCUCAAAGCAGACCGCGUGGCUCCGUGUCGCGCGCUCUGUGCGAGGCUGCUGCUGCUGCUGUUCCAAGAGAGUAGGGACACUGGUUGGACGGUGUAGCGUGUGUGUGGGUGCGUGUGUGGGUGCGUGUGUGUGUGUACGUGUGUGUACGUGUGCGUGCGUGCGUGUGUGUGUGGGGAGCGGUGGAGUAGCGCGCUGCGUUGCGCUACGAACCCGGCCACCGGAGCUCGAAUCCCGCUCACGGCCCCAGCAGCCAGUGACGAUUUUCUGAAUCAAUCCCGGGCCCCCAAGAAGUCACCCCAGUUGUAGAUCAGGACCCGGUGCGACAGCGCCACUGAGGGAGACAAAGAGUGUUGGGACGAGGAGCAGCACCUGUGAAGGCCGGCACGGCACACGAGGGGGUGGGUGGCCAACACCACGCUCGGCCGCCUUUGUCUCCCCAGGGCUGAUGUUUUACACACCGCACCAGGAGCCGCUCUGGUUGCUAAGAGACCGCCUGCUGAUGAGACGUCUUGCGGAUCGAGGUGGGGGGGGAUGUUACCUUGAGACUCUUCCACCAACACCAAGAACUCGAGCUCCCACACUCUGACUGUUCCGUCUCCUCCGCCAGCAGCACGCUGUGCUCAGCCACCACCACUCCCUCACUCACUCACCCACUUGCUCAUCCACUCACUCAUCCCCUCACUCAUCCCCUUACUCACCCACUUGCUCAUCCAUUCACUCACCCACCCACUCAUCCCCUUACUCACCCACUUGCUCAUCCAUUCAAACACCCACCCACUCAUCCACUCACUCAUCCACCCACUCAUCCACCCACUCACCCACUCACCCACUCACCCACUCACCCACUCACCACACCGCAGGUCACCUGCUUCUUUGCUCGCACUGCUCCACUUUGAAUUUCCCUCCUCCUCUAACCACAACCACCAUCGUAUCUACCCCCCCCCCCCCCCCCCCACCAUCACCAUCGUAUCCCCCUACCACCAAAAUCUGACAACAAUAAUCGCCUCGUUCAAUUCAAGGAACGCGAACUAACCUCUGCUCUGUGACAUCUGUGAUAACGGUGCUGUUUGUCGCUGGCCGUUUGACUUGCUGGACCUUUGGGCCGUGUACUCAAAGAGCCCCGUGGGACGAGUCGGUGUCUUUAUGUCGCCAUGCCACCAUCGUUGUUUAUUUACUAAUAAUCUCGUGAUGCGCUAUGAAGAAGGAGUAUUGUCCCAAACGUAUUUUACAUAUUGUUUUCUGUUAAGGCCACAUUGUUGUUAUUGACGAGUGUGUUGAGUUGUUGAUGUUGUUAUUGUUAUUGUCAAUUGUGCGUGUGCAUCACUGCUAACGCAGCAGCAGCAGUGUCAUCGCCAACAUAAUCUCUCUCUCGGUUUAUUCCCAGGCAGCCGAACCCCAGAUUCGAACCCAUGCAGGCGGUCGGUCUCGGUGCGUUUGUAACCUCUGAGCCACCUCUGGUUGGUCUUAAAUAUCGUUGUGAAAUGUAAUAAAGAAUCUUCCUAUAACAACAACAGCAGCGACAACAGCCUCAGCGGCGACAACAACCACCACUAACGCCGGGACAAUUAUACAACUCAGCGAAAACGCGCCCGCGCUGUGCACGCGUGGCGCAUGCAGCACGAAUCUAAAUCCUUUCAUGUCUCUCUCUUCUUUAACAAGUGUCGAUUUUUUUUGUGCGGCCUAAUUAAGAGACCCCGCUCCGCUCCACAGAUGUCCGAAUUUUGCACAUCAAACACUGGCCCUUGCGCAACCAGCGCGUACCACUGGCCACUGACACACACACACACACACGUGUGUACACACACACACGUGUGUACACACACACGCGCGUGUCAGAGCACGAACGCCUUUGUAUCGUGUGUCAACACUGCGCC